rnacentral:rRNA from 1 species
UGUUUCGGCUAGGGGGUCAUCCCGACUUACCAACCCGAUGCAAACUACGAAUACCGAAGAAUGUUAUCACGGGAGACACACGGCGGGUGCUAACGUCCGUCGUGAAGAGGGAAACAACCCAGACCGCCAGCUAAGGUCCCAAAGUCAUGGUUAAGUGGGAAACGAUGUGGGAAGGCCCAGACAGCCAGGAUGUUGGCUUAGAAGCAGCCAUCAUUUAAAGAAAGCGUAAUAGCUCACUGGUCGAGUCGGCCUGCGCGGAAGAUGUAACGGGGCUAAACCAUGCACCGAAGCUGCGGCAGCGACACUAUGUGUUGUUGGGUAGGGGAGCGUUCUGUAAGCCGUUGAAGGUGGCCUGUGAGGGUUGCUGGAGGUAUCAGAAGUGCGAAUGCUGACAUAAGUAACGAUAAUGCGGGUGAAAAACCCGCACGCCGGAAGACCAAGGGUUCCUGUCCAACGUUAAUCGGGG